rnacentral:rRNA from 1 species
CCUACGGGAGGCAGCAGUGGGGAAUAUUGUACAAUGGGGGAAACCCUGAUGCAGCGACGCCGCGUGAGUGAAGAAGUAAUUCGUUACGUAAAGCCCUAUCAGCAGGGAAGAAAAUGACGGUACCUGAGUAAGAAGCCCCGGCUAACUACGUGCCAGCAGCCGAGGUACUACGCAGGGGGCAAGCGUUAUCCGGAUUUACUGGGUGUAAAGGGAGCGUAGACGGUGCGCCAAGUCUGGAGUGAAAUGACGCAGCUUAACUGCGGAACUGCUGUGGAAACUGGCGAACUAGAGUGCGGGAGGGGUAAGCGGAAUGCCUGGUGUAGCGGUGAAAUGCGUAGAUAUUAGGAGGAACACCGGUGGCGAAGGCGGCGUACUGGACCGUAACUGACGUUGAGGCUCGAAAGCGUGGGGAGCGAACAGGAUUAGAUACCCCUGUAGUC